rnacentral:tRNA from 1 species
GCGGUUGUGGCUCAGUGGUAGAGCACUCGCCUAGCAUGUGCGAGGCCCUGGGUUUGAUCCUCAGCACCACA